rnacentral:rRNA from 1 species
UACGUAGGGGGCAAGCGUUGUCCGGAAUCAUUGGGCGUAAAGAGCGUGUAGGCGGCUUGGUAAGUCCGCUGUGAAAGUCCAGGGCUCAACCCUGGAAUGCCGGUGGAAACUGUCAAGCUUGAGUCCGGAAGAGGCGAGUGGAAUUCCUGGUGUAGCGGUGAAAUGCGCAGAUAUGUUUUAGAACACCGAUUGCGAAGGCAGCUCACUAAGCCAAUAUUGACGCUGAGGCACGAAAGCGUGGGUAGCAAACAGG